GCUCAGUCGUAAACUUUGAAUUACCCACCCCCCCUCGCCUGGGAACUACGAGCCAAGCUUAAAACCCAAAGGACUUGACGGUACCCCAUAUCCCCCUAGAGGAGCCUGUCCUAUAAUCGAUAACCCCCGUUCAACCUCACCACUCCUAGUUACUCAGCCUGUAUACCUCCGUCGUCAGCUUACCACGUGAGCGUCAGUGAGCUCAAUGUUCUUCCAACUAAACGUCAGGUCAAGGUGCAGCACAUGAAGUGGGAAGCGAUGGGCUACAUUUUCUACCCUUAGACCACACGGAAGACUAUCUAUGAAACCUAGUCAGAAGGCGGAUUUAGAAGUAAAACGGAAUUAGAGAGUCCUUUUUAACCCGGCACUGGGGUGUGUACACACCGCCCGUCACCCUCCUCAACGCUUACAAUGAGUUUUUAACACUUCACUAGCUACUUAGAAGAGGCAAGUCGUAACAUGGU
rnacentral:rRNA from 1 species